GAGUUUGAUCGUGGCUCAGAUUGAACGCUGGCGGCAUGCCUUACACAUGCAAGUCGAACGGCAGCAUGAUCUAGCUUGCUAGAUUGAUGGCGAGUGGCGAACGGGUGAGUAAUACAUCGGAACGUGCCCUGUAGUGGGGGAUAACUAGUCGAAAGAUUAGCUAAUACCGCAUACGACCUGAGGGUGAAAGUGGGGGACCGCAAGGCCUCAUGCUAUAGGAGCGGCCGAUGUCUGAUUAGCUAGUUGGUGGGGUAAAGGCCCACCAAGGCGACGAUCAGUAGCUGGUCUGAGAGGACGAUCAGCCACACUGGGACUGAGACACGGCCCAGACUCCUACGGGAGGCAGCAGUGGGGAAUUUUGGACAAUGGGCGAAAGCCUGAUCCAGCAAUGCGCGUGUGUGAAGAAGGCCUCGG
rnacentral:rRNA from 1 species